rnacentral:rRNA from 1 species
UGAGUAAUGUCUGGGAAACUGCCUGAUGGAGGGGGAUAACUACUGGAAACGGUAGCUAAUACCGCAUAACGUCGCAAGACCAAAGAGGGGGACCUUCGGGCCUCUUGCCAUCAGAUGUGCCCAGAUGGGAUUAGCUAGUAGGUGGUAUAAUCUUUCACCUAGGCGACAAUCCCUAGCUGGUCUGAGAGGAUGACCAGCCACACUGGAACUGAGACACGGUCCAGACUCCUACGGGAGGCAGCAGUGGGGAAUAUUGCACAAUGGGCGCAAGCCUGAUGCAGCCAUGCCGCGUGUGUGAAGAAGGCCUUCGGGUUGUAAAGCACUUUCAGCGAGGAGGAAGGUGGUGAACUUAAUACGUUCAUCAAUUGUGUUUUUCGCAGAAGAAGCACCGGCUAACUCCGUGCCAGCAGCCGCGGUAAUACGGAGGGUGCAAGCGUUAAUCGGAAUUACUGGGCGUAAAGCGCACGCAGGCGGUUUGUUAAGUCAGAUGUGAAAUCCCCGGG